UCCACAUGCAACAAACGUAGAACCCUUGCUUUCAAUUUUCGAUUACGGCAUUAUGAACGUUUAGUUUCCACUUCUGACUUUGUUUCUUGGAACGGGCAGCACAGGGCUUAGAAUGGACUCAUUUACAUAUGAAGUAGACAGCUUUUUCCAGUCGCGGUCAAGCAGUUAGUCAACGCUCCGCUAACGGAAGAAAAUAAGGAAGAUAUCCGGACCCGGCUUAAUAAAUUGACAACCCUACGACACCGAAAUGAGCUGGCGUACUACGGAUGGGCGGUAACUCACAAGGAUCCUCACGACCCACUGGAGCUGAUAAUGGAAUUGUGCUCAGCUACGUUGUGAACCGCACUAAACGGCACCUACGCUAUUUCCGGACACGGUUAACUCCGUCCAUCGAAGUUCUAUGGAAGUACUGCAGCCUUUUAAGAGAGGAUUGUUCAUUCAUUCCACUCGUACUCUUAGAGCACGGCAAUGACCUAUCACGUUUAUUUACGCAUGGGUGUUUUAUGCAGUUCGUGUUCGUACCUGGCCAUUGGGCGUUAGUUCAGCGUGGAGAGGAAAACGCCACACAAAAGAUAAUGUGGGGUCGAAAGUUUCCAAAAAAAUCUCCUUUCUCACCUCAUCGAUUGCCCACGAGCAGCAGUAAAAUAAACGGCUACUUUCUUUUUGUAUGACAAACUGGUUUAACCUCGCUGGAGCUGUAUCAGCUUGUUUUAAGGUAGCAGAAAUUGUUUGUUUAGCAGCCUGCAGCUCAUACAGGAGUUCGUCCGCCGUUAUCCUGUCCGUCCCACAAACAGCAAAACAUCUUUCAAUACAUUGCGCUAAAUUUAUCUCAUUUCCGUCCGUCCCAUUUACGUUGAUCCAAAUGCCGCUACUCACGAAGGGAGCAUAACCUUCUGAAUAAAGGUAACUGUAACGCUGUAGUGUCGUGUUAUCAUCAACAGAUUCCUCAUUUAAUGCGGAAUCGGCACUCUUCGACACCAGCUUCCUUGGUCGGUCACCAAAUACACAGUCCAGGAAAUCAAGCGCAAUACAGCCGAAACUCCAGAUAUCCGUUGCCAAUCCCGGAUUUUCGGAGAUACCAGGAUUUUCUUUCAGGAAAAAGCGCAUCAUUUCAGGCGACAUAUAGCUAGGGGUACAACAGGCCCGUUCGAUACCAUAAUUGCUUACAGCCCCACUUCUGGACUUAAAGUGGUCAUCGUAGUCACCAAUCGCAAGCCUUUUUCCAUUGUGUUUCAAAUGCUUGACGAGAAUAUUUUCCGGUUUUAAGUCGCCGUGUAUGAUGUUAUUGUGAUGAAAAUAUCGAAUACCGCUCGCAAU